GCCUUCGUAGUGUAGUUGUCAGCACGCUAGACGCGUAGCCCAGAGGUCAGUGGUUCGAUUCCUGGCGAAGGCG
rfam:Stegodyphus mimosarum contig124757, whole genome shotgun sequence.